rnacentral:rRNA from 1 species
UUGACCUCAAAUCAGGUAGGACUACCCGCUGAACUUAAGCAUAUCAAUAAGCGGAGGAAAAGAAACUAACAAGGAUUCCCCUAGUAACUGCGAGUGAAGCGGGAAAAGCUCAAAUUUGAAAUCUGGCAGCUCUUUGAACUGUCCGAGUUGUAAUCUAGAGAAGUGUUACCUGUGUUGGAYCGUGUACAAGUCUCCUGGAAUGGAGCGUCACAGAGGGUGAGAAUCCCGUCUUUGACACGGACUGCCUGCACGUUAUGGUGCGCUCUCAAAGAGUCGAGUUGUUUGGGAAUGCAGCUCAAAAUGGGUGGUAAAUGCCAUCUAAAGCUAAAUAUUGGCGAGAGACCGAUAGCGAACAAGUACCGUGAGGGAAAGAUGAAAAGAACUUUGGAAAGAGAGUUAAACAGUACGUGAAAUUGCUGAAAGGGAAACGCUUGAAGUCAGUCGCGUCGGCUAGAAAUCAACCUUGCUUUUGCUUGGUGUACUUUCUUGUUGACGGGUCAGCAUCAAUUUUGACCGUCGGAUAAAGUCAUUGGGAAUGUGGCAUCUUAGGAUGUGUUAUAGCCCAUUGUCGCAUACGACGGUUGGGAUUGAGGAACUCAGCACGCCCGCAAGGGACGGGUUUUUUGACCACGUUCGUGCUUAGGAUGCUGGCAUAAUGGCUUUAAUCGACCCGU